AGGAAGUGUUUUGGUUACACAAGGCGGAAGCGUCUAAUUUACUGAAGCUGAAAGUGUUUUAAGGGAAAAGCAUAAAACGUCGUUAACGAGGAACGACACCGCCACAACUCCCUGUUUACAGGACGGAGUGGACGUUGUUUUUCGCUGCAACCGGGGUCAGUCCUCUGCUGUUCGGGCCCAUCUGGUUUUUGACAUCAGGAGUUUGAUCUCUGACCUCACUUACCGUCGGUGCCUGUGUUUCCAGAGCCCUCUCCCGUCUUCACACCUCGCCGACCUGUAGUUUCCGACCAUCUCAUCCAUAACGGUCUCUGUCUGUCAAUGGCUGGGCGUGGUGGAGGAGCGAGCAGGCCUAAUGGUGCUGCAGCAACAAAUAAAAUCUGCCAGUUCAAACUGGUGCUGCUGGGGGAGUCGGCGGUGGGCAAGUCCAGCUUAGUGCUGCGCUUCGUCAAAGGCCAGUUCCAUGAAUUCCAGGAGAGCACCAUCGGAGCUGCCUUCCUUACUCAGACUGUCUGCCUGGACGACACCACUGUGAAGUUUGAGAUCUGGGACACAGCAGGUCAGGAGCGCUACCACAGCCUGGCUCCGAUGUACUACAGAGGCGCUCAGGCGGCCAUCGUGGUCUAUGACAUCACCAACACAGACACUUUUGCACGUGCAAAAAACUGGGUGAAGGAGCUUCAAAGACAAGCCAGCCCCAACAUAGUGAUCGCUCUGGCUGGCAACAAGGCGGACAUCGCCAACAAGAGAGCCGUAGAUCUUCAGGAGGCACAAACGUAUGCCGAUGACAACAGUCUACUUUUUAUGGAGACCUCAGCCAAGACUGCCAUGAAUGUCAAUGAAAUUUUCAUGGCUAUUGCAAAGAAGCUACCGAAGAACGAUCCUCAGGGCGGAGCUGGACAAGGCGGGCGGACGAAGACGGGAGUGGAUCUACAAGAAGCCAGCCCUCAGGGCCGCAGCAGCCAGUGCUGCGGCGGCGGCGGCGGCGGCAACUAGCAAGUACAACACAGUGAACUUAGUGAACGAGCCCUGAACAUCAUUUAAAGGACAUCACGUAGCUAAAACCCAGAGAGGCAGGAGAGGGCAGAGCCACUCGCCAGCUCCUGCUCUUAAACUGAGAUUACAGAUGAGAUUAUCUGGAUCCUCUUUGAUUAAAGGAACUUUUUUUUAAAAGAAUCAUAAGCUAGAGGGAAUUCCCAAGAUCCCUCACUACUUCUCUUCUGUCUUUCCCCCCCUCCUCCCUGUGUGUCUGUCUGCCUCCCUGUUCAUCUUCAGCCUCUGUCUCAGUUGAUUGAAUACUGUUUUAAAUGAACUCUUUGAAGCGUGAUGCUGAGGUUGUUUGCCAUUUCCCCUGUUUGUUUGAGCGCGUGUGUGUGUGUGUGUGUGUGUGUGUGUGUGUGUGUAUAAGCAGCACACACAGAUGCACACAUACACACAUUUUGUACUCUCAUCAUGUCCCUCUACGUUGAUCUUUACAGAAGAUACAAACACCCAACUAUUAGUGAUGCUGAAACGGCAGAGCGAUGAAGCUUUUGGUCUUGUUGGCCCCGUUAACAGCCGGUAUUAACAUGUGAUGAGUUGUCUGGAUAACGACGUCUGGAGCUUCGCUUUUACACCGAGUAGAGAAAAAUGUAUUGUCAUUAUCUGCCCGUACUCUCAGGAUGCAAACAGGUGCUAGCUGGUGAACUUGUGAGUUAAUGCGAGGACGGCAACAAAUGGACUUUAUUCAUUAACGUGUCAGCUUGCAGUUGAAGCUCGACCACCUCGAAAUGCAUCCUGACUUAUCUGAUUACACACACAGACUGUAUAAAAGAUGGACGUAGCUACGGUGACGUCACCCGUUGGUUUCUGCACUGAGAAAAUUAAGCCAGG